GACGAACGCUGGCGGCGUGCUUAACACAUGCAAGUCGAGCGGUAAGGCCCUUUCGGGGGUACACGAGCGGCGAACGGGUGAGUAACACGUGAGUGACCUGCCCUUCACUUUGGGAUAACGUGCGGAAACGUGCGCUAAUACCAAAUAUUCGCAUUUCUGCUGCAUGGUGGGGUGUGGAAAGGGGCCUUCGGUUCGUGGUGGGGAGUGGGCGUCGCGGCCUAUCAGCUGUGUUGGG
rnacentral:rRNA from 1 species